GCCAGACUCCUACGGGAGGCAGCAGUGGGGAAUAUUGCACAAUGGGGGAAACCCUGAUGCAGCGACGCCGCGUGAGUGAAGAAGUAUUUCGGUAUGUAAAGCUCUAUCAGCAGGAACGAGACAAGACGGUACCUGACUAAGAAGCCCCGGCUAACUACGUGCCAGCAGCCGCGGUAAUGCGUAGGGGGCAAGCGUUAUCCGGAAUCACUGGGUGUAAAGGGAGCGUAGACGGCUGUGCAAGCCUGAAGUGAAAGGCGGGGGCCCAACCCCUGGACUGCUUUGGGAACUGUACGGCUGGAGUGCAGGAGAGGUAAGUGGAAUUCCUAGUGUAGCGGUGAAAUGCGUAGAUAUUAGGAGGAACACCAGUGGCGAAGGCGGCUUACUGGACUGUAACUGACGUUGAGGCUCGAAAGCGUGGGGAGCAAACAGGAUUAGAUACCCUUGUAAU
rnacentral:rRNA from 1 species